rnacentral:rRNA from 1 species
GGAAUAUUGGACAAUGGGCGAAAGCCUGAUCCAGCAAUGCCGCGUGAGUGAUGAAGGCCUUAGGGUUGUAAAGCUCUUUUACUGGGGAUGAUAAUGACAGUACCCAGAGAAUAAGCUCCGGCUAACUCCGUGCCAGCAGCCGCGGUAAUACGGAGGGAGCUAGCGUUGUUCGGAAUUACUGGGCGUAAAGCGCACGUAGGUGGCGACGUAAGUCGGGUGUGAAAGCCCCGGGCUCAACCUGGGAAUUGCAUUCGAGACUGCAUUGCUGGAGUACGGAAGAGGAGGGCAGAAUUCCCGGUGUAGCGGUGAAAUGCGUAGAUAUCGGGAGGAACAUCAGUGGCGAAGGCGGCCCUCUGGUCCAGUACUGACACUCAAGUGCGAAAGCGUGGGGAGCAAA